AGCGAACGCUAGCGGCGGGCCUAACACAUGCAAGUCGAGCGCAUACCUUCGGGUAUGAGCGGCGGACGGGUGAGUAACGCGUAGGUCAUCUACCCUUUGGUGGGGGAUAACCCAGGGAAACUUGGGCUAAUACCGCACGAGGUCCACGGAUCAAAGCCUUCGGGCGCCAGAGGAUGAGCCUGCGUCGCAUUACCUAGUUGGCGGGGUAACGGCCCACCAAGGGGACGAUGCGUAGCUGGUCUGAGAGGAUGAUCAGCCACACUGGGACUGAGACACGGCCCAGACUCCUACGGGAGGCAGCAGUGGGGAAUAUUGCGCAAUGGGGGAAACCCUGACGCAGCCACGCCGCGUGGGUGAUGAAGGCCUUCGGGUUGGUAAAGCCC
rnacentral:rRNA from 1 species